GGAUUGGAAUUCUAUGAGCUAUGGGAAUGAGGUGAUGCAUGGGAAAGGCUGAGAAAUUGAGGAAUUCUAAUGCAAACUUGCCUAAGGUCAUAUAAGGUGAGUCAUAGUUGGGAGUUAAUGUUUCCUUUAAUCACUAGGCCAACGUACAAGUUUUCUUUCACAUAUCCCCCAAGAAGCAAAGAAUAUGAGAGGUGUUUAGCUCUUAAAUGAUCCUCCAUAUUUUAUUGACUUGCUAGAAUUUUGUAUUGCUAUUCUUUUGUCUAUAUCUAUACCUAUAGUGUUAAGGAUAUUAAAAGAAUCAAAAAUGGAGAAGGAAAAAAACACAUGUAUUACCCCAAAUAUACAAAGAGAUGCUUAACCUAAAUUUAGUUAGGGAAAGAAGAUCACACUGAGACACCGUUUUAUACACAAGAGACCGUAAAAAAUUAAGCAGUCUAAUAAUAUCAAAUGCUGGUGAAGAUGUGGAGCAAGUGGAUUUCUUAUUCAUUGUUGGUAGGAAUAUAAAUGGAUUCAACUACUUUAGAAAAGAAUUUGGCAGUAUCUUAUAUAUAAAUUAGAGCAUUUGUACGUCACUUGACUCAGUAGUUCCACUCCCUUGUGGAUAUACAAUCAUGUGUACCAGGAAACACAAACAUGUGUUUAUAAUGGCUACAUACUAGAAACAACCCAAUUGUGGCCCCUGAAUGAAUCAAUGAUAGUGUUGUGAACCAAAGAUUAUGAUUCUGCACAACUGAUUGCAUCCAAAAUAAAGGACCAAGUCAAACAAGAAGGACCAAGAUCAUCUAACACACCACCUAACACAUGCAACAUAUGUAAUCGUUGGUUGAAUUGAUGAAUGAUAAAAACGAGGCAUUUUGGGGUAUCACAUGACUCUUUAGGUACUGAUGAAUGUUUAAGCAGCUUUUCCUUAUUUGAGACAACCAAUAUUCACUGAGCCCCUUUACCAAAUAUUUUCUCAUCGCUUAAUGAUUUUGUAUUAUAUUCAUUUGUACUAAAAAAAUGUUCAUUCUUCCAUUUUGUAACUGAAACCAGCUUUUAAACUUCUGGAGGGCAAGGACCGUAUUUUCGGUUUCCUUUUUCUCUUAUUACAGAACUACAUGGAGUGGAUAAUCAGUAACUGCUAACGACUUAAUGGUGAAACAAAAAUCCACUUAAAUUUUCCCUUUUGAAAAACAAUCUAUUUUGAAAGUAACGAAUUAUAGUCAAAAGCAGACUUUUUCAACCAAGCUAAGUGCUCUGCAACUUCAAGUGGAUACUUUUCAGGAAAAGUUUACUGUAUAUAUAGCAAAGUUGUGACAAGUAUCUUUGUGUGUAGGAAUAUGUUUGGGACAAAUACAAGGAAGUUUUUAUGUAGUAAUUCUAAGAUUUAGUGAAAUUCUUAGCACAAGGAAUCAAUGAUAAGAAAACAUUGUAUAUCUUAUAAUCAUCCAAUUAAAAACAUGCUAAACAACGUGCUAUGCUCAUUAUUUUGCUAAGAAAAUUGGAAUCCAGAAAGCCAUUGAUAUUUCAGGUCUAAGGGGUUAUUUUUGUUGUUGUUUAAUCAAGUACUAAUCAGGAGAGAUAUACUUUAUAGGAGGAGAGCCAAUUUAUCUGACAUCAAGACUGUUAAGGCGGUUACCCUUAGACGAUGAUUAUUAGUACUAUGUUAGCCUAUUUCCAAUUAAACUGAACUCUCUGUUGUAAUAGUGGUUGCAAGAGGCACAAAUUUAAAGAGAAAAAGAAGAUGUGCUUCCUUACCCUUUUCCUUUCACCCAGCGCAUCACCAAUUUAAAACUUCUGAUAUGCUAAUUGGUUCAUAUGAGUCAGGUGAGAAUCUUUUGAUAGAAAGCAACAGAAAUCCCAAACCAAAAUAACUCAACCAAAAAGGAAGAUUCUUGUUUCAUUGGUUGAGCACUCUACAUCUGAUCUGACCAGGAUUUAUUGCUAGUUCUGCUUCCUCUGGGUUGGCUCCAUUUUAAGGCAGGCUUUUUAGCAGUGCUCACACAUCUCAUCUAACGGGAGGGAGAGUUUCCUCCAAGAGUAGAGCAAAACUUGGUUCUCAUAGGCUAAUAUUGAGCCAUGUACCCAUGCCUGAAUCAAUCACUGUGUCCAGGGAAAGGAAUUAGUUUAGGUGUGAGAAACACACCUACACCUGCAGACAUGGGAGUGAGGAGUCAGUCGCCUCCAAACACAUAGGCUGCCUCUAGGAAGGGCUGAUACUUGGGCAAAGUUUAGAGUACUGUUACUGAGGGUAAUUAUGCUAAAUGGUCCAAAUAUCUACUAUAUUGUACCUUUCAAGUCAGUUCCACAUUUUCUUAUAAUAUCUUCAAUAAUUAUGAGCUAUGUGUUUUCUUUGUAUAGAGGUAUGAGGGAUGCCUGACAAGAUAGAACAAUUUUUUGUUUCUUGGUUGGUGAAAGAAGCUGCAAGCCACUUUUCUGCUGGGUGACUGUAAGGGAUCAGUUUGGAGCAGGUUUUCUUAAUUCUGAGAGGAGGUUUUGGAAGGUCUCUUCUUCUUAUGUAAAUGGAAGGAAUAGGAACCCAUUGACUUAGGAAAAGUAAGUAUCAGGCUAUUUUGUGGCUUGAUAAAGUUUUCUCCAUGUAUCUUUUGCUAUGCAAACUUGGAGAAAAGUAGAGUAAAUUUGUAUUGUCAAAGACUUCUAGAAGGAACUAAAAUCUCCCCAUUCCAUUUGAGACCACUGUAUCAGAACAUCAGAUAGAUUGAGAUGAUUUCAAAUAAGUUCACCUGUGUUCCCAAGGAAGCAUUCACACUGAGGGGAAGGCAGAUAAUGGACUAGUGAAUUACGGGAAAUCACACAGGAAGAUCCAUUCUAUAAUAGUCUGUGGCUAGAAGACCUCACUCUUACAAAAGGCAUAUUGUAGGAACAGUGGCCUAGACUGAAAGGAUAGAAGGAAAUCAGUAACUUUGGAAGCCUAUGUGUGGUACACCUCUGUAGCUUGCACUGCAUCACUGGGAAGGGUGAAAAGGCUCAAAUGAACGCACUGAACUGGAUCAGUUAAGUGCAGUGAAUUUGUAUGGUGGUACAGCAGACAUGGCGGGUGAAGGUUGGGGAUAGUAUGAAACUAGUCAGUCAGCCUGAGGGCCUUCUUUCUCCUCCUCCUUCUCUAGUCUUUCUCUUUCCCUCCCUCACUCUCUCUCUCCCUGCUUUCUUCCCUUACUGUGUUAAUUCUCCUGCUAAAGGUGAGUAACUGAGAACAGAGAUACCCCUUUGGACUGCAUAAGCGUCCCUGGUUCUUGACCACCCAAUUACGGGAAGAGCUUUAAAGAAGUAGCCAUUGGAUGUCCUUUUAAACUGGUCCUGUGGGGGAUUGAAUGAUUAAUUUGAAUAUUAAAAAGAUUUAUGAUCUUAAUUGUACCUCAAGCUGGUGAUACAGGCCACACUGAUUUUAUCAGAUUAAUUUUAAAAAACAACCUAAAACUUAACGAGUCAUUCCUAAGAAUUCUGCUUCUCCUUCUGCUUUCUAGCCUCCAAAGCUGAUCAGGCAUAAAAUUAUCUUUAAAAUAAAUUAUUCCCACACCAUCAAAUGUGGGCUUGGAUGGUAAUAAUAUAUGUAAAGAAAGAAUGAAACAAUUGGGAGAGGGAAGGGGUCGUUGGUCAGGAGAGAAAAAUGAGGGCAGGAGAGUCAAGCAUUGGCUCUUCCCCUCUUUGUAGAGGGAAUCCUGGCUCAUAGACCUGUCAGACAUCUCGGCAGGAAUAUCUCAGUUCUCAGUCAAGCUUCCUUAGCCAGAUGCCAUUGAAAAAUCAAAUCAAAUAAUUAACUCCCUUCAUUUUCAAAUUCCAUGUUCAUGAAAAAAACUUCUAAUUACAUUUUGGCCUACCCAUAAGGAAAGAGUUCACUGAAUAAGGUAUAUAUUUAACACGAAUCCUUGGUUACAGAGGAUGGCAAAAUCAGACUGAGCUUUGAAAACAUCAAUUUCAAAAUUAAUAGAAAAAAAUACAUUGGAAAAUGUAAAAAUAAAUGAAGACAAUAUCAAUCUCGACUCACACUAAAACAGGUGAUGGAAGGAUGUUACCUCUCUCCUAAAGAGAGCAAAAAGUUUGUGUUCGACUUUUAUUCUUCAUUUUUUGAGAGACCUACUAUGUGAGAUGCUAGGGAUACAGCAGCGAACAAGAUAGUCAUGUUUUCUGCCCCCGAGGAGCAAAAUUCUACUGGAGGGAAAUUGAUUAUAUAAUGGUAGUUAAAUAAUUAAUUAUAAUUUUUAGUAACAGAGGUGAAAAUGAGAAAUAAAAAGUGCUAUUAAACAUGGAGUGAGGUGCCUGUCUCAGUCCAAGGCGUCCUUCCUUAGGGAAACAACCCCGUGACCUGGGAUAUGAAGUCUGAGGGACGAAGGGUAUUCAUAGUGGCAGAGGACAGAGGAGAAGAUUUCUAGAUUGUAUCAGUCAAGGUUCUUGGUUACAGACAAUAGAAGCCAACUAACUAGCCAGCAGAUUAAGAAACAAAUUAUUGAAAAAAUCCUGGGCAUAUCACAGAAUCAACUGGGAGACUGGAAAAUAGGAUUAGAGAAUGAGAAAAAACCAAAAAAAAAAAAAAUCCCCUAAGAAAAUGGGAAAUAUAGUCCAGAACACACCAGAGUAACUGCUUGGGAUGCUGUAACUGGUGCUGUCCUCACUUGACAUUUGUGCUGAACUGUAAGUAAUGUUUUACUGUCACUGUGUCCUUGUUUCCCUUCCACAUGUUUCAAAGACUUAGCAGGAGCAUCUGAUUGGCCAAAUGUAUGACUUUUAUUGAUAAUUGCCACUUGGUAUUCGUGCCCUUAUGUGGUCUCCUCCCAUAUAGUAAUAGGGUUGAUCUGUGUGACCAAUAGAAUGUAGGAGAAGUGAUUUAUGUAACUUCUGAGGCCAGAUCAUAAAAGACAUUGUCAUUUCUGCCUUGCUCUCUCUUGGAUCACUUGGGUCUCUCAUGGAUUUGGAGGAAGCCAGCUGCCAUGUUGUGAGGACACUUAAGUAGCCUCUUGGAGAAGUGUACGUGGGAAGGAACUGAGGCCUCCUGCCAACAGCCAGCACCAACUUGUCAGCCAUAUGAUGUCUUAAUUACAACAUGAGAGACUCAACCAGAAUGGCUCAGCUAAGCUGCUCCUGAAUUCCUGUCCCACAGAAACUGUGUGAGAGAAUACAUGUUUAUUUUUAGUUUAAGUUGCAGAGUAAUUUGUUAUGCAGAACAGAUAACUAAUACACAUGUCUAAUUUCUAUCUACCAGGAAGAGGGAGAGGUCCCUUCAUUUUACAGAUGAGGAAAUGAACUCAGAUUUAAAAAGUCUUUAAAUAUUUUUCAGAAUUUCUUAGGAAACAUUUGCAUGGCUAUACGAUCUACCAGUGACUGUUCUAAAAACUUUAUAAAUAUUAACUCAGUCCUCCUGGCAGCCCCCUCUGAGUGCCUACUAUGGGCUGAAUUAUAUCCCCCCCAAAUCAAUAUGUUGAAGCUCUAACCCCCAAUGUGACUGUAUUCGGAAAUGGAGCAUUUAAACGGGUAAUUAAGGUUAAAUGAGGUCAUAAGCGUGGAGGAAUCCAAUGUGAUUGAUACUCUUAUAAGAAGAGGAAGAGACACCAAGGACGUACAUGCACAGAGAAAAAGCCAUCUGCAAGCCAAGGAGAGAGUCCUCAGGAGAAACUAAACCUGUUGACAUCUUCUCCAACCUACAGAAUGGGAGAAAAUAGCUUUCCGUUGUGUAAGCUGCCCAGUGUUUUGUUAUGGCAGUCCUGGCUGACUAAUGCUAGCCAAUACCACAGGUCUACGUGAGUCAGAUUAUUCUUAUUGCUGCUUUGGCUCUCCUGUCCAUUACGGUAAUCACCCCCACCUUGCCUUUGAUGCUUGCGGUUGUAGAUAAAGAAACUGAAGCACAGGGAAGUUAAGUAACUUGUCCAAGGUCACAUAGCUGGUAAGUGGUAAAUUGGGAUUUGAACUCUCAAAAAGAAUCCACUAUCCUGUAUCUAAACAAAUCCAGACAAGAAGACUUUAACAGUUAAUACUUUCCUCAAGAACUUUGUAUCCUAUACAUACUUUUUAUUUUUUUAACUUUUUUUUUGGUGAGGAAGAUUAGCCCUGAGUUAACAUCUGUUGCCAAUUCUCCUCUUUUUGCUUUAGGAAGAUUGUCUCUGAGCUAACAUUCAUGCCAAUCUUCCUCUACUUUAUAUGAGCAGUGUGUCAGUCCACACCUGGGAUCUGAGUACACGAACUCCGGGUUGCCAAAGCACAUUGUAUGAACUUAACUACAACGCCACCAGACCAGCCCCUGCACAUAUUUUUUAAUUGAAGUUAUUGACAUAGCUUCUAAAUGGGCUUAAUAGGGGUUUUCAAAAAUUAUUUUGGUCUCCAUUGGAACAGUGUAACUGAAGGAUCCAUUCUGAGUUCUGAACUACUUGAAAAAUUUCACUCUAGACUAAAUGUUCGCUGGGAUGCACUGAAUUGUAAGUAAUCUCUGUCACAGUAUCCUUCUCUUUCACCCUCUCACUGGCUUCCAAAUGCCAGCAGGAACGUCUGAUUGGCUGAGCCUCAGGCACAGACCCAACUCCUAUCUGCCAGCUAAAUGCAGUUAACUUCCUUAGCUGUAUGGCGGGAAACUCCCACAUAAUAACUUGGAUGGAGAGAGAAUCCCCAGUGCAAGAAUAUACCCUUUUGUGUUAAUGUAACCCUAGUGUGGCUCAAGAUAUCCUCAGCCCUUGUCUUGUACUGAGACCCUCAGCAGUCAGCUGGUUCCUCAAAACACAUCCAAUUUUAUAAUACAUUCAUGAGAAAUUAACAUUUUACUAAAACUCUUCUGCACAGAGAGUAGGAUUCCCAUUGCACACAGCCCAACAGAACCUUAAUAUGAUUCUCCAUUAGAUAGUCUGUUUUUUGGUUUUUUAAAAAGGUUUUAUUUUUCCCUCUUCUCCCCAAAGCCCCCCAGUAUAUAGUUGUAUAUUUUAGUUUUGGGUCCUUCUAGUUGUGGCGUGUGGGACGCUGCCUCAGCAUGGCUGGAUGAGCCGUGCUAGGUCUGCGCCCAGGAUCCAAACCGGUGAAAUCCUGGGCCGUGGAAGCGGAGCACGCAAACUUAACCACUCGGCCGCAGGGCCAGCCCCAGAUAAUUUGGUUUUCAUCCUCAAAAUUCCUCUCCCUGCCAUUAGACUCAACUGUGAUUUUUUCCCCUUCCUUUACAUAGAUCCUAAUAAUCCCCGUUUCUGUCUUGAUUAUUUCCAUUCUUUGCAAACUCCUCUCGGCAAAAUAGAUGCCAUAUCUUCAGUGGAGCAGCAACCAUCACAAACUCUACUGCCUAUAGUUAACUCUGGUGUGGGAUGGGGUUUUGGGUAAGGAAAGAGGGAGGAAACUGUUGAGGGACUCAAAGCUGCCUGCCUUGCUUUAAAGACACUCAAAUUCAAUAAAAAACAAACAUUCAAACAUGCAACAAACAAAACCAAAAAGAACACCUCUGCUAGCUAAACAAAUUAUUUCUGUGGGUUUGUUCAGUUGGUUUGCUGCUCUUUUAAUGUAUCCUUCACUUUACCUUAAGUGACUUUUCAAAGUAUUCAUCCAAGUAAUACAGAGCUUUUUCCAACAGGAAUUCUAGGCUAAGAAGAUGGCGGUGCAUUAUGACUUGUAAACAUGGUCAAAGAGAGAGUGGGAUAAAUACUUCCCCAGUGAUCUCAGGGAUGGUAGGUAGGAAAGCUGGCUAAUCCAUACUGAAAUCACAACAGUUAAAUUGCAGCCCAAAUCGGAAAACCAACUGUCUAUUUUAUAAUCACAGUAACAGCCUGCAUCCUUAUUCCCUACUUAUUUUGCCACGUGGCAUUGGGGAGACAAUUUAGUUUUCUAUUCGAGGACAGUGUUUGAUUCUGACUCAGUCCCAGCUGAUGCAGAGGCUUAAAGUAAAGGCAGAGAUAUAGAUGUGGAUUGGAUGUGACCUGGCAUUUUGGCAAUUUUCUUCUUUUGCUAAUUGUAACAUUGCCCUUGUUUGAGUGACUUCAGAGCCCAAAUACAUCAAUUUCACAUAUAUGUGAAACAGAGCAAUCAAAUCUUAGUGGGAAAGGGUACACAUUAGCUUGUUCUAUUUUUUCUCAAGUCUUGGAUUUUCAUCUGGGGAUUUUGUAGCAUCUCUGUGUGGUAUUUUCAGGCCAUGCUGUGACUGAAUAAAGUAUUAAUGCCCUUAAAGCUAAACAUUGACGAUGCGAAGUAAACUCAAUCUGCUAAAUGUUAAUACAAUUUAUCCUUUUAAAAAUUUACAAACGUGACAUAUUGCAUGCACUUAGUGCUAAUCUAUUUUAGACAUUCAUUUGGUUUGACCUAUGACCAUAAUAUAUUAUGUUCCUUGAGAUAUUUAUCUUGUCAUUUGGAAACGAGAUUACAAUUAAUGCGACACACAUGACUUUAAAUUACUACCUCAACUAGAGAUGUGUGAGUAAUGAAUUAGCCACAGCUUUGAACCCUCUGCUUAUAAUUUAAAUUACCAGCCUUUAGCCGAUGCUUCAUUGUAAUCCAUUAAAGAAGUCACAGAAUCAUGGAACCACAUAUUGUUUUUCGAUGAUGACCUAUCGACGAUACUUUUCCAUUUAAUUUACCUAACCCUAGGCUAAUGUAUUCAAAUUCAUGUAAGAAAAACAAUCACAAGAGAGAACAUUUAUAUGUUUAGGUUAAUACUGGAAUAAAAUCAUAGCCAGACUUCAUCUAAACUAGAUGUACAAAAACAUCAUCCUUUUUUGCCGCUUUCCACUUUUCAGAAGAAAAAUAAAUAUGAUAUUGGAAAACUUGAGCUCAUACCAAAGACUUGGCCCAUAAGCCCUUUUUCAGGAGAGAUCCCCAUAGCAAAAAGCCCAAUUUGUUAUAUUUUCCACACCUCCUUCUCAGCAUUGACUUUGUCAGACUAUAAGUUCUGGAAAGGCACAGAAUAGAAACAUACUAAAUAUUUGUCAAAUGAUGUCUGUAGUGAUAAAUGAUAACCAUUUAUUAUGAAUAAUGGCAGAUUAAAUUUUGCUCACUAUCCUCCAUUUGCUAUGACGAGAUGAAUACAUUGUUUAUUUAAGCUCUUACUGUAUGCUGG
ensembl:lncRNA